rnacentral:lncRNA from 10 species
CAACAGACUUUGCUUCCUUGUAUCUCUGCCAAGACCUCUUUUUGGGGAGGAAAGGCCGAAUCGCCUCAUUUCUACAGGGGCACCUUGGCCUCGCUCCUCUAAACCUGGGUAAGCUCUUUGACCUGCCUGUCCCCCUCCCUCUUGUCUUUCCUUCCCACCAACCAGCUCCCAAACAGAAAGUGUUUUUCACACUCGCAGCUCUCCCUCCUCAGGCCCUGCCAGGCCCGAAGCUGGGCCCAGAGGCCAGCUGGCACCCACAUGAAAGGCCUUCCUGUCGAGAACUGGCAUGGAACCCAGGGCCUCAAGGCUGCCCACACCACAGCCCUGGCCCAGGGUCCAGAGCACAGGGCCACGGAAACUUGGCCACAAGGCUCUGGGGAGAAAAACAGCCUGAGCCGCACAGGAGAGGAGCCUCCCAUCCCCGCAGCCUGGCUGGGCACAUCAAGGGAGAAAGCGCAGUGCCCAGAAUCCUUUGAACAUGAAGCCGCAGCACCUGCACCUGGCAGAGGACCCGGGAACCAGGGAUUCGUGCUGGGGGCAGCACUUGGGGUUUGUUAGUGCAGGUGGAGAGAAAACAGGAGAGUAGCAAUUUCCAACCCAUCAGCAGAAAAAAGUGAAAGCUGAGAAGUCAGGGUGAGGCUGGAGGGGACAGGAUGGGGUGGCUGGGUGGGCCCAGAAUUGAGAUCUGAUUUGCAAAAUGGUGGCAAAAGGCAACAGACUGCGGCUCCCUUGAGAGAAAAACCUGGUCUCCCAACCGGCAAUGGGUGUGGUUAUCAAACGCACAGCCAUGCCUGUUCCCAGGAUGCAGGUGCAGUCUGGAUAAACUGAGACUAGGGUUGGGGGGGAUCUGUUCAAGGUUGCACAGCACCUUCAAGAUGGGGCUUGAACUACAAACCCAGGACUCCGGACCUGGAAAGAAUCUCCUAGGAGGUUCUGGAGGGUUCAUUCUUGGACAGAAAUCUGGGAGAACCUACAGCAAAAUGGCAACAAUGUGAUUGUGGGUAACUUAAAGUUUGUGGUUUUGUGUGUGGUUUUUUGUUUUUUGCUUACCUGU